rnacentral:tRNA from 1 species
GGAGAGGUGGCCGAGCGGUCUAUGGCGGCUGUCUUGAAAACAGUUAGGUGAUAAGCCUCGGGGGUUCGAAUCCCUCCCUCUCCG